rnacentral:misc_RNA from 1 species
UCUAUCUGCUUCUACUGCUGAUGGUGGUGGUAAAACUGCUACUACAGUGUUAUUGUAGUUAUCAUUGGUGUAGGUGUUGCUGCCGUUGUUUUCGCCGUCUUUUAGUUGGGCUUUAAAUGUCAGCUGUAUAGAAACUAAACAUCUGAAUGGAGAAUAGAAACUCAAUGAAUUUCAUUGAUGCUGCUAUGUUGUUCAAUAGCCACCAACAUCGUAUGGAUCCUCACUACAAAAAGAUGCUUUUCUUGACUCUCUUGUCACUGCUCCUACUUUCUGAGUGUGAAUCAAUGAGUGUCAAGGAAUAUUCUUCACUUCCAGAAAACCUGAAGACGAAGGAUAAAGAUGAUAACCAUGGAGGAAUUAAAAUGGGUGUUGUUUCCAAAUUUUGUGAUGAUGGCAAGGUCUACCUUGAUGUGGAUCUCAAGGAUUCUACCAUUGGUUAUAAGUGCGAAUAUGAUAUUAACCAUGCAAAUCAAGUGCCUUUCUACGAAGUCUCAUCGGAUGAAGAGGAGGAUCCACCAAUCCAUGUUUGCCUGCCGGAAAACAUCACAUAUGACAAAGACAUACCAACAUCUGGAAGUCACCGACCUCUGUGGCCAAUAUAUGGAGGUUAUAAGUACUUGCCACCACAGCGAUGGUUACAUUCACUUGAGCAUGGUGCAGCUGUAUUCUUAUAUCAUCCAUGUGCCGAUAAAGUUAAUAUUAGCUAUUUUAAAAGAAUAGCUUUUGGUUGCUUAAAAAAGAUUAUUGUGACUCCAUCAAGUAAGGUACCAAAGAGUAGGCCAUUUGUUGUUGUGGUAUACAAGAAGAAGUUGCUGAUGAAUACGGUUCAGGAAGACGUGAUUACAAAAUUUCUAGAGACUAAUGACUGGUUUGUUGCUCCAGAACAUAAUGUGUGGACAGAUGGAAUUUACUCACUAGACUUGCAAAAAUCUUCUUAUAAUAACUCCUUGCUUCAAGAUAACUACAAGAACAUAUGUUUAGAGUUACAAUAGUUUAAUUGACCAGAUAUAAUGCCAUCAUGGAAUAUAAGCAUAAUAGUACAGGCAGCAAGAAGGAAAGCUGUUAAUAUUCAUGUGCAUUGGCUCUCUGAUGAUUUUGAAAAUUGAAAGAAACACAAAUCUUGAAUUCAUCUCAACUAAUACUACUGCUGCUGCUGUUACCAC